rnacentral:rRNA from 1 species
AGUGAAUAGAUACCCGGGUAGUCCACGCUGUAAACGAUGAGUGCUGGGCGUUGGCGGGUUUACCUGCCGGUGUCGCAGCUAAACGCGUUAAGCACUCCGCCUGGGGAGUACGGCCGCAAGGUUAAAACUCAAAGGAAUUGACGGGGGCCCGCACAAGCGGUGGAGCAUGUGGUUUAAUUCGACGCAACGCGCAGAACCUUACCAGCCCUUGACAUGGGCGGACGGGGUCCAGAGAUGGACUCUUUCUCGCAAGAGACCGCUACACAGGUGCUGCAUGGCUGUCGUCAGCUCGUGUCGUGA